rnacentral:lncRNA from 1 species
CUGUCUCAAAACAAAAAAGAAAAUAAAAGGAAAAAGGAAAUGCCUUGUGAAGACAGACAUACAAGGAGAAGGCAGCUGUGUGAUGACAGAGGCAGAGACUGAGGUGACGUGUUCACAAACCAGGAACCCCCUAGGAGACAAACACCAGAAGCUGGAAGAAGCAAGAAGGAAUCCUCCCCUAUGAGUUUCAGAGACAGCGUGGCCCUGCCGGCAACUUGAUUUCAGACUUCUAGCCUCAAGCACUCUGAGACAAUAUGUUUCUGUUGUUUCAAGCCACCAAUUCCCUGAAUACGCAGGAAUAGUAUUCUGUGGGGAGGAUCUGCUGAAGGCAGACGUGUCGGUGCACAUUCCCAAGGCACUCUCCAAACACUAGAGGGAUCCAGCAGCGGAGCUGACGAUGUAUGAAGACUGCCUUUUCUCUCCUGUCGGCAUUCUGGAUUAGAGCUGAUUAUUCCCCCCACCGUUUCCUGCCACAGCCCUCACGUUCCCACCUGUAGCCCUGGCUUUAUUCUGCGUGUGUGAGAAUUCUGCUGUGUUCUUCUCCACCUGCUUCCAUCAGGAGGCUUUGCAGGACAGAGACCUUGUCUGGCUGUCCCUGCAGUGCCUCCCACCGGCUACACACAUUUCGUUUUUGUUUUUAUUUUUAUUUUACUUAUUUAUUUAUUGUGAGACAGAGUUUCACUGUCACCCAGACUGGAGUGCAGUGGCGCGAUCUUGGCUCACUGCAACCUCCACCUGCCGGGUUCAAGCUAUUCUCUUGCCUCAGCCUCCCAAGUAGUUGGGAUUACAGGCACCCACCACCAGGCCCGGCUAAUUUUUGUAUUUUUAGUAGAGACAGGGUUUCACAUGUUGGCCAGGCUGGUCUCAAACUCCUGACCUCAGGUGAUCCGCCCGCCUCGGCCUCCCAAAUUGCUGGGAUUACAGGCGUGAGCCACCGCGCCUGGCCUUGUUUAUAUUUUCGGAGCCAGAGCCUCACUCUGUCAUCCAGACUGGAGUGGAGCAGGGCAAUCAUGGCUCACUGCAGCCUCGACCUCCCAGGCUCAAGCGAUCCUCCUACCUCAGCCUUUCGUGUAGCUGGGACUACAGGAACACACCACCACCAGGCUAAUUUUUUUGUUUGUAUUUUUUGUAGAGUCAGGGUCUUGCUGUGUUGCCAGGCUGGUCUUGAACUCCUGGGCUCAAGUCAUCCUCCUGCCUUGGCCUCCCAAACUGCUGAGAUUGCAGGUGUGAGCUGCUGUGCCCAGCUGCUAGCCAUACAAAUUUUGAUAAACAGUAAAUACUCUGGAAAUGUUCACAGGAAGAAGACAAACUUUUCAACUUAGAGCAGGGGUCUUCCAACUGGGCUGCACAUUUGAAUUAUCUGAGGAACUUUAAAAAAAAUCCUCCCCCACAACCUCCGCCUCCCAGGUUCAAGCAAAUCUCCUGCCUCAGCCUCCAAAGUAGCUGGGAUUACAGGCAUAUGACACCAUGCCCGGCUAAUUUUGUAUUUUUAGUAGAGAGGGGGUUUCUUC